rnacentral:tRNA from 1 species
GGAGAGGUGGCCGAGAGGCUGAAGGCGCUGGUUUGCUAAACCAGUAUACGGCCCAAAGCUGUAUCGAGGGUUCGAAUCCCUCCCUCUCCGCCA